UACGGAGGGUGCAAGCGUUAUCCGGAAUCACUGGGUUUAAAGGGUGCGUAGGCGGCCCGAUAAGUCAGCUGUGAAAUCGCUGGGCUCAACCCAUGCAAUUGCGGUUGAUACUGUCGGGCUUGAAUGGGGUUGAGGCUGGCGGAAUGCGACAUGUAGCGGUGAAAUGCUUAGAUAUGUCGCAGAACACCGAUUGCGAAGGCAGCCAGCUGGGCCUUGAUUGACGCUGAGGCACGAAAGCGUGGGGAGCAAACAGG
rnacentral:rRNA from 1 species